rnacentral:rRNA from 1 species
AUACGUAGGGUGCGAGCGUUGUCCGGAAUCACUGGGCGUAAAGAGCUCGUAGGUGGUUUGUCGCGUCGUCUGUGAAAUUCCGGGGCUUAACUCCGGGCGUGCAGGCGAUACGGGCAUAACUUGAGUACUGUAGGGGAGACUGGAAUUCCUGGUGUAGCGGUGAAAUGCGCAGAUAUCAGGAGGAACACCGGUGGCGAAGGCGGGUCUCUGGGCAGUAACUGACGCUGAGGAGCGAAAGCAUGGGUAGCGAACAGGAUUAGAUACCCUGGUAGUCCAUGCCGUAAACGGUGGGCGCUAGGUGUAGGGGUCUUCCACGACUUCUGUGCCGUAGCUAACGCAUUAAGCGCCCCGCCUGGGGAGUAUGGCCGCAAGGCUAAAACUCAAAUGAAUUGACGGGG